UCGAAAACCAAGCCACGAAAUUAAAUGCCAAUUACAAGGAAUCGUGUCUGGAGCUAAUAUUUUAAGUGGAAGAGCCAGAUCAUCAAAGUCAUUGCAUUUCAUAUACCCUAAGUGUAAUAAGCAACAAGACUUGUUUGAAUGUGGCUAUUACAUCAUGUAUUGGAUGAGAGCCAUAGUUUUUGCGGGUAUUAUUGAUUCUUGGGCGCAGGUAAUUCUUAUCAAAAUUUAUUUAAGUAUAUUUACCUUUAGGAUAAUUAACAUUGCAUAUUAAUGACACUUAAAUUAAUGUUU